AGACAGAAGAAAUAUCUAAAGCGGUUUCGGCCCGCUCAAUGAGAGUAACUAAUCUCUCUCUGUCUU
rnacentral:tRNA from 1 species